UAAGCCCCUCUUUCGAAUAGGUCCCCAUCCAAAAAUAUAAAAAAAAUAGGCCCCAGGGGAGCUAAUUCGAGAAUUUACGGUGUAAAAUCACAAGGCAAAGGCUUUUAUUAAAGAAUAAAACAAAAUAUUCUUAUAAGAAAAAUUUAAAAUAUCUUGCGAUAAAAAUUUACAAAACAUUUAACGGUUUGAAUGCACCUUCUAUGGAUGAAAUGUUUUCCAUAAAUGAAUGCCUAUAUUAUUCAAGAAACUCCCAAUGCAAUACAGCGGAGCCACAUUACAAAAUUUAUGAAUUUAAUACAGUAUCAUACAGACGUAGCCAAAUAUUUAGCGUUGGUAAUUUAAAUAAGUUGGUUUUAAUAAACUUGAGUAUGCAUAGCUAGAAAUUGUACCAACUUUAAAAUGAGAAAGAAAAAAGGAGCCCUGCCCUAGCCGGUCAUAGCAUAUUUAUGGCAUAUUUGACUUUUUAGGUCGGGAAAAGGUUACAAUCCGUGUAGUACAAUAAAAGUGCUCCCUCAGAAAAACAUGCGAGCGACAUCAGCAUCUCAGUUUUGAGUCUACAUUCCCAUAUUUCCACAUUGUUUAUUUACUUUCAGAAAAAUUGGAGAGUCUAUCUCUGAAUGCCAAGGAAACAUAAUAUAGCACGGGGGCCCUGUGACUGUAAAAUCAACGGCUUUUAUUCUACAAGAAUAUGUGACGAAAUGAAUUUAUACAAUUGUUUAGCUAAACAAUAUAAAAAACUAUAAAAAGCUAGAAAAACCCUUGUUGCAGUUAUAAAGUUCUCGUGAUACACUAGAACCGAUGUGAAUUUUUCCAGAAUGACCAAAAUCAUUUUUCUGUUGUUUGCUAUUUCAUUUAUGGUGUCAUGCGAUGGCUUUGGGAAGGCAACUGCGAUAGGAUGCGACGCCGCCAGAGAAGGUCACAUUAUCUCUGGCAACGUUUGCAGUUUCAGUUGCUGCUUGGAAAAAAAAUUGCGAAAAAUGCAUCAGGAAACUGCCAUAAGGCGAGGAAAAUGUCCUGCUUUUGCCAAUUGGGGUCGACCUUGCUAUGAAAGUGGCUAUAAAUUUCUACACAGAACGGUCAUCAAAUACAAUGUUUUGGGAUGCUUUAUUUGCAAUAACGGUUUUCAUCGUUUCUACAAAGAUCCUGCUAGUGAAGGUUCACGAGUAGAUAUAAACCAGGGCUAUACUCUUGUCAGGUUUGGAUAAACUUGCUUCAGUUGGCUGAAUACCAAGACACACAAUGUGCAAACUAUUAUGGAACUUCAGUCAUAUUUUGUUUAAUCUUGCAAUAAAUGAAAAUGUAGCUUUAACAGAUGAUUAGCAGUAUUUCUGUGUUAUAAUCGGACAUGAACUCUAAUUAGUAAAUA